rnacentral:misc_RNA from 1 species
GAUGAAGAACGCAGCGAAAUGCGAUAAGUAAUGUGAAUUGCAGAAUUCAGUGAAUCAUCGAAUCUUUGAACGCACCUUGCGCCCUUUGGCUAUUCUGAAGGGCAUGCCUGUUUGAGUAUCGUGAACACCUCAACUCUCAUGGUCUGCCAUGAUGAGCUUGGACUUUGGGGGUCUUGCUGGCCUACUGUCAGCUCCUCUCAAAUGAAUCAGCUUACCAGUGUUUGGUGGCACCACAGGUGUGAUAACUAUCUACGCUUGUGGUUUUCUGCCAGGUAACCUCCAGUGAUGGAGGUUCGCUGGAGCUCACAAAUGUCUCUCCUCAGCGAGGACAGCUUUUUGAACGUUUGAUCUCAAAUCAGGUAGGACUACCCGCUGAACUUAAGCAUAUCAAUAGCGGAGGA